AGUGAACGCUGGCGGUAGGCCUAACACAUGCAAGUCGAACGGCAGCACAGGAGAGCUUGCUCUCUGGGUGGCGAGUGGCGGACGGGUGAGGAAUACAUCGGAAUCUACUCUGUCGUGGGGGAUAACGUAGGGAAACUUACGCUAAUACCGCAUACGACCUACGGGUGAAAGCAGGGGACCUUCGGGCCUUGCGCGAUUGAAUGAGCCGAUGUCGGAUUAGCUAGUUGGCGGGGUAAAGGCCCACCAAGGCGACGAUCCGUAGAUGGUCUGCGAGGAUAAUCAGCCACACUGGAGCUGAGACACGGUCCAGACUCCUACGGGAGGCAGCAGUGGGGAAUAUUGGACAAUGGGCGCAAGCCUGAUCCAGCCAUACCGCGUGGGUGAAGAAGGCCUUCGGGUUGUAAAGCCCUUUUGUUGGGAAAGAAAUCCAGCUGGCUAAUACCCGGUUGGGAUGACGGUGCCCAAAGAAUAAGCACCGGCUAACUUCGUGCCAGCCGCCGCGGUAA
rnacentral:rRNA from 1 species